AAGUUUCAAGGCUCUUUCUGCUUCUGAAAGUUUGAAUUUGCUGAGUGCUGACUUCAACCUAAGCACAUGUGUGAUUCUAUCCAGAAGCUGAUUCCACGCUUCAGUUUCCCCACACGUUCUGUGAAAGUUCGCUAAAUGAAAGGAUUUGGUUUUUUCCUUCACUCUCUACCUCUGUUAAACCUCUGUUAAAGCUGUACUUCUAUUUGGAAACCUCUCAUUUCUUAUCUCAGCCCUAGUGACUCUUGCUUCAGGACAGCAGCCUGCCAUCCCCACUGAGUUCUCAAAUAUCAGCUGCUCUUGAGUGCAGGUUUCUCAUGCCCCUUCUCUCUUCCUAUUGUUCACCGUCUCUUUAAUUUUGGUCCAGAAACACUUAGUGUUGGCAUAGACAGCAGUGAAUUGGCCAGGACAUAAGAAUUCUAAGAAGUCUAAAAGAACUGGUAAUUAUGUGAGGUGAUGGAGGUAUUUAUUAACUCACGCCACUAUGGUAAAUAUAUGACGUAAAAACCAUCAUGCUGUACACCUUAAACGUACACAGUGUUGUAUGUAAAUUAUCUGAAUAAAGUAGGAACAACAAAAAAAUCCUUUACCUAAUAGAGUUUGACCACUAAAUAUUAUGAUCACUUGUAACAUUUUAAAUGAAUUGUAUGAUGGGAAGAAGUUAAUUAACCACACAAGCUUUUCUGGGUUGAGUAUCACAAGCUAGGCGUUCCGAUCUCCACGUUCCCCCUAUGUAAUUACAGCUUUAUUUAAGUAAUUACAGCUAUAUUUAAUACAUUUUUGCUAGGAAUGGUCUAAAUUGACUGGGUGAUAAUUUUAAGAGAGUUCUAAAAGGUAAACCUUUCCCACACCGGGAGUCGAACCCGGGCCGCCUGGGUGAAAACCAGGAAUCCUAACCGCUAGACCAUGUGGGAGAAGACACUUCCAGCCUGCCGUGUAAGUAAAUUGAAACAUUCUCUCAGCUUCCGCCUUCUGUGUUCGGCCCCGCCUCCUGCCGCACCAGGCUUCUGCGCAUGCGUGGCUUUUCGGCUUUCCCUAGUUGCGGUGAGCUCCCAACGCUUUCUCCGCCCAAGGGUGGGAGCGGGUGCUUUGUCUAAUGGACGCCGCGGCCUACCUGUCUCCCUGCUUAGAGAGGCUGCAGCCAGGACUGAAUCUCCAGAAAUCUCUGUUAAAAAGCUCCCGCGAAGUUAUUUGUCUUUGGAGGGAAAGUCUAUAGAUCCAGAUCUGAGAAAUCCAUCAUCAAGCCAUCUCAGGGGCUGAGAAAUUGAGGUUUCUUCUCAGUGUUCUUUGAGCAACCUUUGCCCUGGUCACCAUCUAAAACCCUGGUAAGAACUUCUUCUGCAGUCUUAUUUUUGUAUUCUCUCAAAAACUGCACUUAUUUAA
rnacentral:tRNA from 1 species